AUUAAAACGCUGGCGGCAUGCCUUACACAUGCAAGUCGAACGGCAGCACGGGGGCAACCCUGGUGGCGAGUGGCGGACGGGUGAGUAAAGCAUCGGAACGUAUCCUGGAGUGGGGGAUAACGUAGCGAAAGUUACGCUAAUACCGCAUAUUCUGUGAGCAGGAAAGCAGGGGAUCGCAAGACCUUGCGCUCUGGGAGCGGCCGAUGUCGGAUUAGCUAGUUGGUGGGUAAAGGCCUACCAAGGCGACGAUCCGUAGCGGGUCUGAGAGGAUGAUCCGCCACACUGGGACUGAGACACGGCCCAGACUCCUACGGGAGGCAGCAGUGGGGAAUUUUGGACAAUGGGCGGAAGCCUGAUCCAGCCAUGCCGCGUGAGUGAAGAAGGCCUGG
rnacentral:rRNA from 1 species